UGGGGAGUACGGCCGCAAGGUUAAAACUCAAAUGAAUUGACGGGGGCCCGCACAGCGGUGGAGCAUGUGGUUUAAUUCGAUGCAACGCGAAGAACCUUACCUACUCUUGACAUCCAGAGAACUUAGCAGAGAUGGUUUGGUGCUUCUGGACCUCCCGCGACGAGGGUUCCGCACGUUUGUCGGCAGCUCGUGUUGUGAAAUGUUGGGUUAAGUCCCGCAACGAGCGCAACCCUUAUCCUUUGUUGCCAGCGUUCCGGCCGGGAACUCAAAGGAGACUGCCAGUGAUAAACUGGAGGAAGGUGGGGAUGACGUCAAGUCAUCAUGGCCCUUACGAGUAGGGCUACACACGUGCUACAAUGGCGCAUACAAAGAGAAGCGACCUCGCGAGAGCAAGCGGACCUCAUAAAGUGCGUCGUAGUCCGGAUUGGAGUCUGCAACUCGACUCCAUGAAGUCGGAAUCGCUAGUAAUCGUAGAUCAGAAUGCUACGGUGAAUACGUUCCCGGGCCUUGUCACCCCGCCCGUCACACCAUGGGAGUGGGUUGCAAAAGA
rnacentral:rRNA from 1 species